rnacentral:rRNA from 1 species
CGAGGUUAUUAGUGGCGAACGGGUGAUACACGUGAGUAACCUGCCUUUCCGUUCGGGAUAAGCCUGGGAAACUGGGUCUAAUACCGGAUAUUCCGUUUUUGCCGCAUGGUGUUCUUUGGGAAAGUGUUUAUCUGCCGAGGGAUGGACUCGCGGCCUAUCAGCUUGUUGGUGAGGUAAUGGCUCACCAAAGCGAUGACGGGUAGCCGGCCUGAGAGUGGCGACCGGCCACACUGGGACUGAGACACGGCCCAGACUCCUACGGGAGUGCAGCAGUGAGGAAUAUUGCACAAUGGGGGCAACCCUGAUGCAGCGACGCCGCGUGGAGGAUGACGGCCUUCGGGUUGUAAACUCCUUUCAGUAGGGAAGAAGCUUUUGUGACGGUACCUACAGAAGAAGCACCGGCUAACUACGUGCCAGCAGCCGCGGUAAUACGUAG